rnacentral:ncRNA from 2 species
AUAGAAAUUGGAAGCGAAGAAGAGUCAUUUGUAUAUGGGCACUUGAAUGGCUCGGAGCUUGUAGUGCAACCCGCCAAUUUUAUG